ACGAGCUGGCGCACGGGCGCGUAACGCGUAUGCAACCUACCUUCAACUGGGAGAUAGCCCCUCGAAAGAGGGAUUAAUAUCCCAUAGUAAUAAGAAGAGGCAUCUCUUUUUGUUUAAAGCUCCGGCGGUUGAAGAUGGGCAUGCGUGACAUUAGCUAGUUGGUGAGGUAAAGGCUCACCAAGGCUACGAUGUCUAGGGGUUCUGAGAGGAUGAUCCCCCACACUGGUACUGAGACACGGACCAGACUCCUACGGGAGGCAGCAGUAAGGAAUAUUGGUCAAAGGACGCAAGUCUGAACCAGCCAUGUCGCGUGAAGGAUGACGGCCCUAUGGGUUGUAAACUUCUUUUGUACGGGAAUAAACCCGGGUACGUGUACCCGGCUGAAUGUACCGUA
rnacentral:rRNA from 1 species